rnacentral:rRNA from 1 species
ACAGCAGCCGCCGCGGUAAUACGUAGGGUGCGAGCGUUAAUCGGAAUUACUGGGCGUAAAGCGUGCGCAGGCGGUUGUGUAAGACAGGUGUGAAAUCCCCGGGCUUAACCUGGGAACUGCGCUUGUGACUGCACAGCUAGAGUAUGGCAGAGGGGGGUGGAAUUCCACGUGUAGCAGUGAAAUGCGUAGAGAUGUGGAGGAACACUGAUGGCGAAGGCAGCCCCCUGGGCCAAUACUGACGCUCAUGCACGAAAGCGUGGGGAGCAAACAGGAUUAGAUACCCGCGUAGUCCCUGUCUCUUAUAC